rnacentral:sRNA from 1 species
AGCCCCCGCCGUAGCCGCCUCCGAGCCCGCCGCCACAUCCUCUGAGCAGAAGAUGGCUGUGCCACCCACGUAUGCCGAUCUUGGCAAAUCUGCCAGGGAUGUCUUCACCAAGGGCUAUGGAUUUGGCUUAAUAAAGCUUGAUUUGAAAACAAAAUCUGAGAAUGGAUUGGAAUUUACAAGCUCAGGCUCAGCCAACACUGAGACCACCAAAGUGACGGGCAGUCUGGAAACCAAGUACAGAUGGACUGAGUACGGCCUGACGUUUACAGAGAAAUGGAAUACCGACAAUACACUAGGCACCGAGAUUACUGUGGAAGAUCAGCUUGCACGUGGACUGAAGCUGACCUUCGAUUCAUCCUUCUCACCUAACACUGGAUAUUUAUUAGAGGGAGGAUCUACCAAGUGCAGACCUGUGCUGGGUGUGCAGUGCACACAAGUGACUGGGCACACAGGGUUCCUAUCCUCUGGAGAUGUCUGCUUAUAGCUUGGCUAUAGAUGAUCUGAAGAGACCAUUGUUACGGGCCUGAUUUACUCUCAUUCCUCUUCGCUGCUGUAGUUUCUCCUGCAAGAGCACUGCCUUUUUGCAGUGCUGUGCACUCUUCCCCCAGGAACUCUGCCAUGGUAUCAGGGAGCGGUUAUCCAGAAAGAUCCUGGGAUAGGAUGAGGGGCUGGAGGAUGUGCCCACAUGCUUGAAUUUGCUGCCUGGGACUUUGCCUGAUGCCCUGGGAUAGCACACUUUGGAAUUUGUAGGCGAUUUCCUUCCCAUGACCUUAGGGAGCUUUGCAGAGGUCUCCAGGCCCUGCGGUAUAAAACACAAAGGAAAGUUUUUUG